rnacentral:snRNA from 1 species
UGCUCUCUUUGGCAGCAAUAUACUAAAAUUGGAACGAUACAGAGAGGAUUAGCAUGGCCCCUGUGCAAGGAUGACACGCAAAACCAGCCAUCCUGUGAUU